rnacentral:rRNA from 1 species
AGGUUUCCUACGCAAGGUCAAUCCGCGUAGGGUUAGUCGGGCCUAAGCCGAACCCCAAGGGGAUAGGCGAUGGACAAUGGGUCAACAUUCCCAUACCAUCUAAUCCUUGUUUUAAGGCAAAGGGGGGACACAGGAGGAUAGGUUGAGCGUACCUAAUGGACAUGGUGCGUCCCCAAUCUGAGGCAUGUUGAGGUAGGCAAAUCCGCUUCAACGAUAAGCUGAGGAGCGGGGAAAAUUGAGGGGAAACCCGAGAUGAUUCAACUGAGUCCACGCUGUCCAGAAAAGCCUCGUUGCUAAAUGAUUAGAUGCCCGUACCGCAAACCGACACAGGUAGAUGGGGGUAAGUAUCCCAAGGUGUUCGAGAGAACCCUCGUUAAGGAACUCGGCAAUUUAACCCCGUAACUUUGGAAGAAGGGGGCCCGCUUAAAGGCGGGGGCACGAAACCGGCCCAAGCGACUGUAUAACAUAAACACAGGUCUCUGCCAAAGCGAAAGCUGAGGUAUAGGGGCUGAUACCUGCCCAGUGCCGGAAGGUUAAGGAGAGAGGUUAGGGUUUUUACCCGAAGCUUUGAACCGAAGCCCCGGUGAACGGCGGCCGUAACUAUAACGGUCCUAAGGUAGCGAAAUCCCUUGUCGGGUAAGUUCCGACCCGCACGAAAGGUGUAACGACUUGGGCGCUGUCUCAACGAGGGACUCGGCGAAAUUGAAAUACCCGUGAAGAUGCGGGUUACCCACAACCGGACAAAAAGACCCCGGGAGCUUUACUAUAUCCUGGUAUUGGACUCGAGCUGGACAUGUGUAGGAUAGGUGGGAGGCUGUGAAGCUGAGGCGUAAGCUUCAGUGGAGCCAACGGUGAAAUACCACUCUUGUCUGGUUUUGGUUCUAACCUGCCUUCGGGUGGGAACAGUGCCAGGUGGGUAGUUUAACUGGGGCGGUUGCCUCCCAAAAGGUAACGGAGGCGUCCAAAGGUCCCCUCAGCACGGAUGGAAAUCGUGCAUCGAGUGUAUUGGUAUAAGGGGGCUUGACUGCGAGACCAACAAGUCGAGCAGAGACGAAAGUCGGGCAAAGUGAUCCUACGGUUCCGUGUGGAA